rnacentral:ncRNA from 1 species
GGGAGCUGGAUGCCCUGAAAGGGGCACGUCCAGAUCUGUGGGGAAGUUCGAAGGGCGACCUUCGAACUCACCCUAAC